GACGAACGCUGGCGGCGUGCUUAACACAUGCAAGUCGAACGGAAAGGCCCUGCUUUUGUGGGGUGCUCGAGUGGCGAACGGGUGAGUAACACGUGAGUAACCUGCCCUUUACUUUGGGAUAACUUCAGGAAACUGGGGCUAAUACCGGAUAGGAGCUCCUGCUGCAUGGUGGGGGUUGGAAAGUUUCGGCGGUUGGGGAUGGACUCGCGGCUUAUCAGCUUGUUGGUGGGGUAGUGGCUUACCAAGGCUUUGACGGGUAGCCGGCCUGGGAGGGUGACCGGCCACAUUGGGACGGAGAAACGGCCCAACCUCCUACGGGAGGCAGCAGUGGGGAAUAUUGCACAAGGGGCGGAAGCCUGAUGCAGCAACGCCGCGUGCGGGAUGACGGCCUUCGGGUUGUAAACCGCUUUCGCCUGUGACGAAGCGUGAGUGACGGUAAUGGGUAAAGAAGCACCGGCUAACUACGUG
rnacentral:rRNA from 1 species